AGAGUUUGAUCCUGGCUCAGAACGAACGCUGGCGGCGUGCUUAAGACAUGCAAGUCGAACGGUAAGGCCGACUACCUUCGGGUAGUUGGUACACGAGUGGCGCACGGGUGAGUAACGCGUGGGUAAUCUGCCUUCGGGUUUGGGACAACUCCGGGAAACUGGAGCUAAUACCAAAUAAGACCACGAGGUCUUCGGACCUUGCGGAAAAAGGUGGCCUCUUCUUGAAAGCCAUCGCCGGUUGAUGAGCCCGCGUCCCAUUAGCUUGUUGGUGAGGUAACGGCUCACCAAGGCAUCGAUGGGUAGCUGGUCUGAGAGGAUGAUCAGCCACACUGGAACUGAGAUACGGUCCAGACUCCUACGGGAGGCAGCAGUCGGGAAUCUUGCACAAUGGGCGAAAGCCUGAUGCAGCAACGCCGCGUGAGGGAUGAAGGCCCUCGGGUCGUAAACCUCUGUCGGAAGGGAAGAAGGUAUUCCGGGCCAAUACCCCGGGAUAUUGACGGUACCUUCAAAGGAAGCGCCGGCUAACUCCGUGCCAGCAGCCGCGGUAAUACGGAGGGCGCGAGCGUUAUUCGGAAUCAUUGGGCGUAAAGCGCGUGUAGGCGGCAGGGUAAGUCGGGUGUGAAAGCCCGGGGCUCAACCCCGGAAUUGCAUUCGAAACUGUCCAGCUAGAGUCUCGGAGAGGAGGGCGGAAUUCCCGGU
rnacentral:rRNA from 1 species